CCUCUGUUGAUCUACCAGGCAAGCAAACCCCCUUGUUCAUUCCUAUACAAUCCUACUCUCUCGCUCCUGCUCUCAGUUAUUGCAUUAGGACAAUAAUGAUUCAUCUGCUACUUUGUGCUGCGGUAGUUGAACCCAUUCCUCUGCAUGACCUGUCAUUGCCACAGUAAAUAGUUGAAACCCACUAGCAUGUGUAGGAGUUGAUUGAGCCAUGUUGUGUUCCUACCAUGCUAUGCCUUCUAUUGCUUAAAGUGUGUCAGGUCUGAUUCAUUGGGAAUGAAUUGGAGUGCAGUGCUCUAUGUUCUGAUGCUGAGAGUUAAGUGUGUGAACAUGAUUUGGUAAAGGUAGUGGUGAGAGGCCAUGUAGGAGUACAUGGUGGGUUGUCUCACUGGAACCGUCCUUAAGCACUGAGUUCUAUGUAUGUUGUCCAAUGACUCGAUACUACCACACAUUGGGAUCCUUAAUUGACUCUCUCGACUUAUUAACCGACUUGAUCUCUGUCCAGGAGUCACAACUAGUUUCUGGUGUUUGUAGGUAGUGCUAUUUUUCUACCAAGUGGCACCCGGCAGGGUGGGCUUGGGACAGACUAGGCACACGUGGCCUGGUGUACCGAGUGGCACCCGGAUGGUGGGCUCGGGAACCCUGCACAAAUCGUUUGGGGCCGUGAGCGACACCCCGGCCGGAUCUCCUUGCGGAUGGAACCCGAAUAGGCGAUAAACCUGGGCUAGAGUCUUGUGUGGUUAGUUAGGUCGUGGCCGACACCCUCGCCAGGCUUCCGCUUGAAGGUUGCCGAGAUACAUGACGUGUACAUGGCGGUAAUUGGCGAGAGCGUGUGUGAAGUACACCCCUGCAGGGUUAACAUGAUCUAUUCGAAUAGCCGGGUCCGCGGUUAUGGACUUCUUGGGUGCUUACAUGGUACAUAGACAACUUGAAGUGGAUACUAUAAAAUGCUCAAGACAAGUGUGAGUGCUAUGGAUGGCCUUCUUGUAGGGAGACGGGAAUGAAUCCAUAGUAGUGUAUUGUGUGGUGACUAGUGGACUCGUGUGCGCCAUAUCACCUCAAAGAAGUUCUGGUAGUCGUAGAACAGGAUAGCCACAGAGUCAAAGCUAGCUUGCUGCAACUAAACCCCACAUUACCCUCUUGAUACAAAUGCAUGUAUGAUAGGAUCUGAUGUAAGUCUUGCUGAGUACCUUUGUACUCAUGUUGCUUUAUUUAUGUUUUUGCAGCGGAGACUUCGGUCUUACUAGUGUUCUCGUGGACUUUGACAAGUAGCUUGUACCUCAGCUACGAUCUUGGUCGGAUAUUGUAGUUAGUUAGGCCCUUCAGCCUUUUUCAUUUGUAGAUGUCUGUACCCAGACAUGUAAUGCUUCCGCUUGUUGCUUGUAUGCUCUGUAUGAUGGGUCUUGUGACCCCUGUUUGCAAUAAAUGCUAUGAUGGCUCUUUGAGCCUUAUCUAUAUGAGUUGUUGAGUUAUGCUGUG
rnacentral:lncRNA from 1 species